AUGGACGGACGGACGGACGGAUCGAUCGACGCCAUAAUCCGUCGACCGAUUGGAUCGAGUCCAACCAGCAGCCGGUGGUCACUUCUUGGGCGGUCCGUACUUGGGGCAGGCGGGGCUGAAGUGCUUGGAGAGCACCCUGGAGUUGAGCAGCUCGAUGAUGGGGCCGAAGGAGACGCACCGUGGCGCCUUGUACUGGUUGAUGGAGGCGCCCCGGGAGAUGGCGUAGUCCAUCACCUCCUCGAAGGUGCCACCCCGCACCACCCUGAUCUCCAGCGGCCCGAUGGCGUCGCCGUUCCGCCCCUGCCGGUAUACCGAGUUGAGCGCCUCCUCCAUCUCCAGGCAGCACCGCUCGAACACCGCCGCCUCCGGCCACAGCCCCUCGCGGCAGUCCUUGAGCAUCAGCUCCCAGUACACCACGUAGUGCCCCGGGAUGGUCGUCGCGUCCGCCUCGCUCGUGUACUCCACGAUGCUGGCCCCGUAGGGCGCCAGCAGCCUCGCCGCGCGCUCCACCGCCGCCUGCAGCUCCGCCUCGUCCGUCUUGUCCGAGUCGAUGCUGAGGAGCACGUUCUUGCGCCGCACGAACCUGAACUGCGGCGCCGCGUUGUGGAACCCGGUCACCUGCAGGAUGUCGCCCACGCGGUACCGGCACAGCCCGGCGUACGUCGUGAUCACCAGCUCGUACUCCUUGCCGACCUCCGCGUCGGCGAGGUCCACGAGGCGCGGCGGCGGGUCGUCCAUGGACACCGCCGGCGCCUCCGGGUCGUGCGGCAUCAGCUCGAAGUACCCCAUGUUGGGCAUGAUCGUGUAGGAGACCUCCGACGGGUCGCACAUCGGGCGGAGGUUCAGCCCGAAGUAGCACUCCGAGGAGGCGUACAUGGUGCACGCCAUUGGGAGCCCGCCGCUGUAGAACUUGAGCGUGGGGAUGUACUGCGCCAUGGCCCCCGUCACGAUCACGUCCAGGUACUUGGUGUUGGGCCACAUCCUGGUGAUGAUCCCCUCCCAGUUGUCCUUGGCGCACUCCGCCGCCACGAACGCCGCGAGGUCCGGGUUGGGCUCGAGGACCUCGGCCACGGCGGCGCGGAUGGACGGCUCCACCACCUUGGCGCUGAGCGUGCCGGUCUCGAUGUCGCGGGCCAGCUCCUUCCAGUGGAGCUGCAGGAAGCGGAUGGCACGGAGCAAGCCGGACGCGAAGACGGCGCCGACGCGGAGCACCUCGGUGCGCACCAGCAGGCCGCACAGCAUCUGCGAGUACAUGGACUGGAAGGAGUCGGUGCAGAGGAUGGCCGGCGUGGGGCUGGUGUACACCUGGUACGCGUCGAACGGGCGGUACUUGAAGUGGUCGCUCUUGUAGUAGCUGGUCAGCACUGGCCUCGCCGGCAGCCCGCCGGGCGUCUUGGUCUCCGACUUGAUGAAGAGGAAGUAGAGCCCCUUGCCCUUGUCCAGCCCCGGGACGAACCUGCAUGCAUGCCACGUUCUCAUCCAAUCAGUCACUCAUGCAUGCCAUGCUUCCUCCAUCAUGUUUUUUUUUUUUGCAUUAAGUUUACCCCAAAUUUUUUGAUCUAG
rnacentral:rRNA from 1 species